rnacentral:tRNA from 1 species
GGGUUUGUAGCUCAAUUGGUUAGAGCGCUCGGUUUACAUCCGAAAGGUUAGAGGUUCAAGUCCUCUCAGACCCA